rnacentral:misc_RNA from 1 species
AAGUCGUAACAAGGUAACCGUAGGUGAACCUGCGGUUGGAUCAUUAAAUUGAAAAAGAGAGAGAAGAAAUUCUCUUGAUUUUAAACAUUUAGAGAUAAUUGAAUGUUUUUUUGUGGAGAGAAGAAGAGAUUCUUUUUUCCACAAAUUUAAAUAAACCAUUUUUAUUAUUAUUAUUAUAAAAUAAAAAAAAACAACUUUUGACAACGGAUCUCUUGGCUCUCGUAACGAU